GAGCUGCUCGAGCUGGACCAGCAGCUCGAUCUCUUGCGGAUUAAAGUUGAAGCUCGAAAAGCUGAGCUUCUCAUGAAGAUAGAGAAUCAAGAAGAAACGGGCGGUUCACGCUUCAGGAUGCUUUGGACUACCUUCGAUGAUGAUACGUAC